UACGAAGGGGGCUAGCGUUGUUCGGAAUUACUGGGCGUAAAGGGCGCGUAGGCGGUUUGUCAGUCGGAAGUGAAGCCCGGGCUCAACCUGGGAACCGCGCUUGAGACUGGCACGCUAGAGUUCGGGAGAGGAUGGUGGAAUUCCCAGUGUAGAGGUGAAUCGUAGAUAUUGGGAAGAACACCGAUGGCGAAGGCAGCCAUCUGGACCGACACUGACGCUGAGGAGCGAAAGCAUGGGGAGCGAACAGGG
rnacentral:rRNA from 1 species